GCCAAAUCCUCGCAAGGCAAAGGAGUGCAGCGGAGUGAGGAACGGCGGCGCAAGGCGACGGCAAUAGAAGGGCAGCCAAGAACCGAAAGGGUUCAUCGAGUGAGGAGAGAUUAUUCAAGGGCAAGUGAGGCCAAAUGAGGAUUUUUAAUCAGAGAUAAGCAUACCAGGCCAUAAAGUGUUUGUUUUCGAGACCUGCCUGUUGCAGAUAUUUGUCUGUUGGAGAUAUUCGUUUGUUGGUUUUGGCUACGCCGAAAUGCUUCAAUUCGGAUCGUGGUGCACAAGAGUCGUGAGCCAUCUAGAGGUUGACCGACGAGAGUACUGUUGAAGGUGGCCACCUUCACGGUACACUAGAUUAUCAGACAUGGCAGGAGACAUAAGAAGUUAGACUGAUCAGUCGGACUUUUAAGAUCACAAAAGAAUUUAGUUGAUCGUCAAGAUGGAGAAGAAUUGAUCGGAGUCGAUGCUAUUAAAUAAGCAUGUGGAUUUCUCGAUGAUUCGUGUCUUCAUACACGAAGUCGUUUAAAAGGGACCUAUUUCUGCUGUAUUUUGUUAAGUGAGAAUUUCAAAGUCUCACAUUCGAACCCUGAUUUAGUUGAUAUGACCAAUUAUUCUAUUUUGAGAUCUUGUAAUCAAAUACUUAGCUUCUAAUUUGUGGUAUCAAUUGAUUGGC